rnacentral:tRNA from 1 species
GCCUGGAUGGCUCAGUCUGUUGAGCAUCUGACUCUUGAUUUUGGCUCAGGUCAUGAUCCCAGCAUUGUGGGAUCAAGUCCCAUGUCAGGCU